rnacentral:sRNA from 1 species
UGAGGCAGGAGGAUCUCUUGAGCCCAGGAGCUUGAGGUUGCUGUGAGCUAGGCUGACGCCAGAGCACUCUCUAGCCUGGGCAACACAGUGAGACUCUAUGUCCAAAAAAAAAAAAAAAUUCAUACAUGAGUGUUUUCAUUGUGGAUUUUAACAUUUUUUGGUAUGAAAUGAUCUUCAUAAUUUUUUUUUUCUUUUUUUGAGACAGAGUCUCACUCUGUUGCCCGGCUAGAGUGCUGUGGCAUCAGCCUGGCUCACAGCAACCUCAAACUCCUGGGCUCAAGUGAUCCUCCUGUCUCAGCCUCCUGGGUAGCUGGGACUACAGGCAUGCGCCACCAUGCCCGGC